AUUGAACGCUGGCGGCAUGCCUUACACAUGCAAGUCGAACGGCAGCACGGGAGCAAUCCUGGUGGCGAGUGGCGAACGGGUGAGUAAUAUAUCGGAACGUGCCCAGUCGUGGGGGAUAACGCAGCGAAAGCUGUGCUAAUACCGCAUACGAUCUACGGGUGAAAGCGGGGGAUCGCAAGACCUCGCGCGAUUGGAGCGGCCGAUAUCAGAUUAGCUAGUUGGUGAGGUAAAGGCUCAACAAGGCGACGAUCUGUAGCUGGUCUGAGAGGACGACCAGCCACACUGGAACUGAGACACGGUCCAGACUCCUACGGGAGGCAGCAGUGGGGAAUUUUGGACAAUGGGCGAAAGCCUGAUCCAGCAAUGCCGCGUGCAGGAUGAAGGCCUUCGGGUUGUAAACUGCUUUUGUACGGAACGAAACGGUGAGCUCUAAUACAGUUUGCUAAUGACGGUACCGUAAGAAUAAGCACCGGCUAACUACGUGCCAGCAGCCGCCGUAA
rnacentral:rRNA from 1 species